rnacentral:rRNA from 1 species
UACAGAGGGUGCAAGCGUUGUUCGGAAUUAUUGGGCGUAAAGCGCGUGUAGGCGGCGUUGUAAGUCGGGUGUGAAAUCCCUCAGCUUAACUGAGGAAGUGCGCCCGAAACUGCGAUGCUUGAGUACCGGAGAGGAUGGCGGAAUUCCAGGAGUAGAGGUGAAAUUCGUAGAGACCUGGAGGAACACCGGUGGCGAAGGCGGCCAUCUGGACGGUAACUGACGCUGAGACGCGAAAGCGUGGGUAGCAAACAGG